AGUGAACGCUGGCGGUAGGCCUAACACAUGCAAGUCGAACGGCAGCACAGUAAGAGCUUGCUCUUACGGGUGGCGAGUGGCGGACGGUUGAGGAAUACAUCGGAAUCUACUUUUUCGUGGGGGAUAACGUAGGGAAACUUACGCUAUUACCGCAUACGACCUACGGGUGAAAGCAGGGGAUCUUCGGACCUUGCGCGAUUGAAUGAGCCGAUGUCGGAUUAGCUAGUUGGCGGGGUAAAGGCCCACCAAGGCGACGAUCCGUAGCUGGUCUGAGAGGAUGAUCAGCCACACUGGAACUGAGACACGGUCCAGACUCCUACGGGAGGCAGCAGUGGGGAAUAUUGGACAAUGGGCGCAAGCCUGAUCCAGCCAUACCGCGUGGGUGAAGAAGGCCUUCGGGUUGUAAAGCCCUUUUGUUGGGAAAGAAAAGCAGCAGGUUAAUACCCCGCUGUUCUGACGGUACCCAAAGAAUAAGCACCGGCUAACUUCGUG
rnacentral:rRNA from 1 species